rnacentral:lncRNA from 1 species
GACAGGGGAGAGGGGAUCUGUGUAGGGGAGGCACGGCAAAAAGGGAUCUGAGUAGGGGAGGCACGCAAGAGGGGAUCUGUGUAGGGGAGGCACGGCAAGAGGGGAUGUGUACAGGGGGAGAGGUGAUCUGUGCAGGGAGACGGGCUGUCAGGGAGAGAGGGGAUCUUUGCAGGGAAGGGAGGGGGAAUGUAAGUGAGUCAGGGGAAGAGGGGAUCUGUGCAGGGAAGGGAGGAAGGAGGACUUUCAGGGAGGCCGGGGAGAGGGGAUAUGUGCAGGGGAGGCAAGGCUAGAGGGGAUGUGUGCAGGGAAGGCAGGGGGAGAGUGCAUCUGUGCAAGGAGGCAGGCUAUCAAUGGAUAGAGGAUAUCUGUGCAGGGGAGGGAGAGAUACUGUCAGGGAGGCAGGGGAUCUGUGCAGGGGAGGGAGGGGGACUGUCAGGAAGGGAGAGGUGAUCUGUGCAGGGGUGGCAGGGAGGGGGACUUUAAUGGAGUCAGGGGGAGAGGAGAUCUGUGCAGGGGAGGCAGGGGGAGAGGGAUUGUCAGGGAGGCAAGGGGAGAGGGGAUCCAUGCAGGGAGGGGGACUGUCAGUGAGGCAGGAGAGAGGGGAUCUGUGCAGGGAGGGGGACUGUCAGUGAGGCAGGAGAGAGGGGAUCUGUGCAGGGAGGGAGACUAUCAAGGAAGCAGAGGGAGAGUGGAUCUAUUCAGGGGAGGCAGGGGGCUCUUUGAGGGUGUAGAGAGGAAGGGGAUGUGCAGGGAAAAGCUUACCUGUUGUUCCUGUCAGGCUGCUCUUCCUCUUCACUUGCAGGACAGGAGGCACAGGACAUGACCUCACUUCCCAUGCUUCCUGCUCCGCCUCUUCCCCUCACUGCUUUACACGGUGGAGACCUGGUAAGCAGAGUAGGAUUGUUGCCAUGUCUCACCCAGAGCUUGGGAGGGAGUAUGGGAGUCAGCAGGGACCUUGCCACCCCUCAAAAAGUGCCGCUUGGGGUGGACCAACCGCCCCUCGCUUUGCUACGCAACAGUUAAUUGAUUUUAUUCAGUGCCCCAGAGAGGCAGAGCAUCAAAGAAUUGACCAGAGUUGGUCUUGCAAGCCCUAAGUCCAUCUCAACAACAGCAUACUUUACAUCGCCUAGAUCAGUGAUGGCUAACCUUGACACCAUAAAUUAUUUCUGGACUACAUUUUCCAUGAUGCUCAGCUAGCUUUUAGAGAUCUAGAGGGAGAGGGACUGUCAGGAAGUGAGGGAGAGAGGGGAUCUGUGCAGGGGAGGCAGUGGGACUGCCAGGGAGGCAGGGGAGAGGAGAUCUGUGCCGGGGAGGCAGAGGGAGAGGAGAUCUGUGCAGGGGAGAGGGGAUCUGUGUAAGGGAGGGAGGGGGACCGUCAGGGAGGCAGGGUGAGAGGGGAUCUAUGCAGGCAGGUCCGUCUAUAAUAUUAAUAGGACCCUGGGCAAAGCAUUUUCUUGGGCCCCCUGGAUCUUGCAAUACCCCCCUCCCCCCCCCCACACACACACACACAUUCACGCCUUUCACCCCAACAUAGUGGAAUGAUUAAAGACAUACUUAGACAGACAUACUGACACAUACACACACACAGUCAGACAUUCUAACACACAUAUAUUCACUGACAGACAUACUGAGACCUUCACAGAUACAUACUGACACACACAGACAUGCACUGACACACAAAUAUAUACUUACUGACAUAUUGACACACAUUCAGACAUAUUAACACACAGACAUAUACAUACACUGACAGACAUACUGACACACAGACAUGCUGACACACACAGACACAUACACUGACAGACAUGCUGACACACACACAGAUACUGACAGACAGACAUGCACACACACACACACACACAGAUACUGACAGACAGACAUGCACACACACACACAAUGUAUACUUUUGUACAUGUUUCCUACCUUGCUGGGCUCAGCCCCGAUCCUCUCUGCCUCCUUGAUGUCUCCCACUCGGCUCUCUGUGGGAGGAAGUGACAGCUGCAAGUCACUUCCUCCCACAGAGAAGAGAGCCGUGCGCCGCCCAGCCGGCUACAGGAGAGCAAGAGGCCCGGUCGUGCGCUCUGGCCCUUUAACAGCGCAACCGGGCCACUGCUUACAAAUGCCCACCGGGUGGCCCUUAGUGAAUGGCCCACCCAGUGGGCCUCCUUAGUGUGUUGUGGGCCCAAGCAAGGGGGGGGGGGGGGGGGGAAUAGUUAAGGGCAGUGGGGCCCAUGGGGCAGCUGCCUUGGGCCCCCUAGGAGUACCUGGGACCGGGGCAGCUGCCCCGUUUGCCACGCGUUAAAGACGGCCCUGUAUGCAGGGUGGGGGACUGUCAGUGAGACAGGGGAUCUGUGCAGGGAGGGGGACUGUCAGGGAGGCAGUGGGAGAGUGGAUCUAUGCCGGGAGGGGGUCUGCAGGGGAGGCAAGGAGAGGGGUGAUCUGUGAGGGUGCAGGGAAGAACUUACCUGGUGUUUCUGUCAGGCUGCUCUUCACUCGCAGGGCAGGAGGCACAGGAAGUGACGUCACUUCCCAUGCCUCCUGCCCCUCCUCUUCCCCUCACUGCACCGCACAGUAGAGACCUGGCAAGCAGAGAAUGGGAGUCAACAGGGACCUUGCCACCCCUCAAAAAGUGCCGCCCGGGGUGGACCACCCACCCCUUGCUACACCACUGGAGGCUGGGCUACUUUAAAACAGUUAAUUGAUUUUAUUCAGUGCCCCAGAGAGGCAGAGCAACAAAGAAAUUACCAGUGUUGGCCUUGCAAGCCCUAACUCCAUCUCAAUGACCUCAUACUUUACAUCGCCUAGAUCAUUGAUGGCUAACCUUGACACCAUAAAUUGUUUCUGGACUACAUUUCCCAUAAUGCUCAGCUAGCUUUUAGACUCUAAAAGCUAGCUGUGCAUCAUGGGAAAUGUAGUCCAGAAACAAUUUAUGGUGUUAAAGGAUCAGCUUAAUGAAGUGGUCUGGAUGGCAGGUCCCACUAGGAUUAACCCUUUUUUUUUAUAAACAUAGCAGUUUUCAGAGAAACGGCUAUGUUUAUAAAUGGGUUAAUCCAGCCUCUAGUGGCUGUCUCAUUGACAGCCGCUAGAGGCGUUUGCGUGCUUCUCACUGUGAAUAUCACAGUGAGAAGAUGCCAGUGUCCAUAGGAAAGCAUUAUGAAUGUUUUCCUAUGAGACUGGCUGAAAGCGCGCAGCUCCUGCCGCGCAUGCGCAUUCAGCCGAAGAGGAGGAUCGGAGGCGGAGGAGAGCUCCCCGCCUGUCGCUGGAAAAAAUGUAAGUUUAACCCCUCAGGGCACUAUAGUAUGUUUUCCUGGCACUAUAGUGGUCCUUUAAGGUUAGCCAUCACUGGCCUAGAUGAAACAUCUGGUCGAAGAGCUUAGCGUUAUUUAAUCAGAACCUUCUACUGCAGAUAAAGAACUUGUGGCGUUAUACCCAUGAGGGACGCCUAGGUUGUCCCCUUCCCUUGUGUAGAAGCUCCAGAGUGAUUAUGCUUUCUUGCAGAGUGUAUAACUGUCUCACCCAAACAUUAGCAGAGAUUUAGUGAAGGGUGAAUAAGAACUGAUUUUUUGAGGCAAAUUGUCACCUUAUAUACUUGGACCAGACAAGUUCCAAGGGAGAACAAUAGAUUGCGACAUAAACGGCACCUGUGCCUGAGCUGGUAAUUUAAUUAUCGGCCAGACACCUUGGCACCAGGGUUAACAAAACUGGUAAUGACACAUAGUUCCCGUGCCAACAUCCCCACAACAGUGCCAUCCCCAAAAAGGUCUCUCUGGCGCACCCAUUCUGUCCAAAAGGCACCCAGAUUGGAGAUGACUAGCCCGAAUUAGAUGGAAAUCCAAAGUUCAGCAGGAUGUGGCUAGCCUCUGAUCUGGCGCAGAGUUCCAGAGUGGUGGAUAGAGAUCCCAGUCACAUAAAAAAACGCUUUUUGUGGGUACAUGGAGAUUCCCCAAGUCCUUGGUAUCAUUCGAUGCCUCGCCACCCCUUUAUUUACCCUCUGGAUUGCUGGUUCUGGGAUCGAGAUCGCUCUAGUUAAAGUUUUAGCGCACCGUAGCGACUCUGCAAUCCGUCUUAGAGUUCCAGGAGGUCUUAGGGUUGCUCCCAGUCAGGCGCAGCCUCAGCGGCCCCCUGGCUGGUGAAUGGAGCUUCCUGGGCCACUAGAAGGGGUGCUGGGCUGGGAGGCACUAGCUGGAGGGUUAGUGAAAAUAGUCUUUAUUGAGAGGGGUGGCGGAUGGGAAGACAUGAACCCAGCUUAGGUGACCAGAUGGUCUGUCACAGAACUAUUCAACCUUUCCUUUGUUUAAAGCACUAUGCUCAUACUGGAUUUAACUUUCUGCUUAGGGGAGAAGCAAAUAAGGCAUUAUUCAACUUACUCAACCUUUGAUACAAAAAUACAGAAGGGAUGUAAAUUAUUGUACAGAACAUUAGUUUUAUGUAUAAUACUGUCGCAUAUCAAAGAAAAGUCUAAAAUGCUCCUUUACACAAUAAGCAGAACACAUAUAUGUAGUAAAUUAGGCAAACAUUUACAAUCAUUUUGAACAUAUUAAUAUAAUGCAAACUCUAAGCUUUGUGUUUUUUACAGGGAUGAACCUGGCAUCAGCUUACCUUUAUGGAUUAAACAGUUCACAAAUGGUUUAAGGAAGCCUGAGACAUGGGUGCAGCUGAUUGGCUCAGAGCGUUAGGUUAUGAUCUAAGCCAGUCAUUAGUUUCCCAUUUAUAAAAACGGUUUCUUAAGUCAUUUUGUGAAUGGGGAGCUAUUGACUGGCUCAAGCAAUCAACUACCUGCUAUUGACUGGCCCCACUGCCUCAUACUACCUGUUUUAAGAAUCUAAGGGAAGAACUAAACGAACACAGGUCUUGCGACUUCUCCUUGCAAACAAUCUUAGCCUUACAAAUCCUGGAACAAAGGAAGAGAUUAUGUAAAUAAUUUCCUAGUACAAUUCUUCAAACAACAGUCACAUGAAAAAUGCAGAAAAAGUAAAAAACUUAUUUAAAUACUAAACCAUUUCAUUUUGGAACGAAAAACAUUAAAGGAAUAAACUGGAAUUGGCCUGACUAAAUCAUCAUAAAAGCCAUUUGAAUUUCAUAUAGGGAAAAAAAACCCCACCUCAAGUGUGAGGGUACAGAGCCUGACCUUUCAACAGAUCAGACGUGUGGUGCAUAAGCACCUUUUUCUCUUGCCAUUUUAGGGGUACUACCCCGGGCCAACAAGCUUUUGUACCUACCACAGUACACCACUUCCGUUGGGGAAUCCCAGACGAAUGAUUGGAGCCAUUUCUUGCGGCUUAAACUUCCCGGUAACCCAAAAACAUGCCUGCCUGCUGAGCACAGAGUUCGGGUGAGGCGCAAUCUGCAGUAAAGUCCUGCGGCACACCUACCCUCCCCACACUCUGGACCAGCUUGAAUAACUUGAUUUAGCUUGAAUAACUUCAGUAGGCACCGGAAUAUCCUCCAUAUUCCAGUGCCCACUGAAGUUAUUCAAGCUAAAUCAGUUGCACUUACCUCUUGAUCUCGAAGCCGUACUCCAGCCGUGUUUCAACAACUCAGCUUACCAAAGAUGGCGGAUGCGCCUUGCUCGUACAUCUCAACUACCUCAUACUUUACAUUGCCUGGAUGAAAUCCUCCAGACCUUCUGGCAAAAGCUGAGUGAAAGUCUUAGAGACUCUGAGUCUAGCACGAGAGCAGACCGGGGAAGCAGAACCGCACUGGAAAAGAGGGAAUUCCCUAAGGGCAAAUCUGCUCCAACAGCGCUUACCCAUCCUGUUUUCUGCCCUCCUGGGCUUAGAGCCUCGAGAGGCUUUGCCUCAAUGCAUCGACCACAAAAGACGAAGAUCUGCUGUCGACAACAGUACUCACUAUCUGCAACUUCCCACUGAACCCAUCGGGGAAAAGGUUUGAUACCCAAGUGACACCAGAUUUGCGGAUCUCGGAUGCUGGUCCUCAUUUAGGCGUGGCACUGGAGGAAAACUCUACUCUGGUGCGGCAAGGCGAACUCUUUUGUGGACUCUCGCAGAAAUGCUCUAUUACUAGCCAUUACAGGGAUGGCUGAUGCAGGUUCAGUAUUCGUUCUAUGCAUACCUCUAAAAUCUUGUGUUGAUGUACUUUGCCUGGCUAGUAAUAAGAGGAAUGUGACUUGCUCAAUUGUUGUUUUACCACGUUCCUUACCUCAGUUUAUUCUGUUUAAUGUUCCUUAGUGCAGUAGUCUACAGCUGUCUAACACUUUAGUGGCACACAUAUAGGCUAGUGGAGCUCUGAUCAAUUAUUCUAACUGAUAAAUUGAUGCCUACUUAUGCCUCACUCACCGUGGCUAAAUGUACUCAUCUGAUUGAAUACAGUCCUAGACUUGUUUACUUUAAAAUAUUGCAAUUCCUUAACAUGUCUCUGUUUAAACCUAGGUCAACCCUUGUCCUUGCUGACGUGGCAUUACAAGCAUGUGUGUAUUAUUAUUCUAACUGAUAGAUUGAUGCCUACUUAUGCCUCACUCACCGUGGCUAAAUGUACUCAUCUGAUUGAAUACAGUCCUAGACUUGUUUACUUUAAAAUAUUGCAAUUCCUUAACAUGUCUCUGUUUAAACCUAGGUCAACCCUUGUCCUUGCUGACGUGGCAUUACUGCAACUUGUUCUACAAUAAAAAAAAAAAUUUUUAAAUGUGCAAUUCCUAUUGACAUUUUGUGCUAUAAAGGGACACUAUAGUCACC